rnacentral:rRNA from 1 species
AUUGAACGCUGGCGGCAGGCCUAACACAUGCAAGUCGAGCGAGCGGCGGACGGGUGAGUAAUGUCUGGGGAACUGCCCGAUAGAGGGGGAUAACUACUGGAAACGGUGGCUAAUACCGCAUACCAUCGGAUGAACCCAUAUGGGAUUAGCUAGUAGGUGGGGUAAAGGCUCACCUAGGCGACGAUCCCUAGCUGGUCUGAGAGGGUGAUCAGCCACACUGGAACUGAGACACGGCCCAGACUCCUACGGGAGGCAGCAGUGGGGAAUAUGCGACAAUGGACGAAAGUCUGACCGAGCAACGCCGCGUGAGUGAAGAAGGUUUUCGGGUUGUAAAGCUCUUUUGGUAGGGAAGCGGUAUCUACCCAGAAAGCCACGGCUAACUACGUGCCAGUAGCCGCGGUAAUUC